UGAGCAAUCUGCCCUUCUCAUCGGAAUAAGCGUUGGAAACGACGUCUAAUGCCGAAUACGACCUCCUUUCGCAUGAUCGGAGGUGGAAAGCUCCGGCGGAGAAGGAUGAGCUCGCGGCCUAUCAGUUAGUUGGUGUGGGUAAUGGCCCACCAAGGCGACGACGGGUAGCCGGCCUGAGAGGGUGACCGGCCACACUGGGACUGAGACACGGCCCAGACUCCUACGGGAGGNAG
rnacentral:rRNA from 1 species